UACGUAGGGGGCAAGCGUUGUCCGGAUUUAUUGGGCGUAAAGAGCGUGUAGGCGGCCAUACAGGUCAGCUGUGAAAACUCGAGGCUCAACCUCGAGACGUCGGUUGAAACCGUAUGGCUAGAGUCCGGAAGAGGAGAGUGGAAUUCCCGGUGUAGCAGUGAAAUGCGUAGAGAUCGUAAGGAAGACCAGUGGCGAAGGCGGGUCUCUGGACAGUUCCUGACACUGAGGCACGAAGGCCAGGGGAGCAAACGGG
rnacentral:rRNA from 1 species